GCCAAUAAUAGCUUCAGACAACACACUUCAGACAACUGCAGAAUUUUUAACUGUCGUCUGAUACUUUGGAACGACAGCAAAAAUUAUUCUGUCGUCUGAAUUUUUGAAUCAGACAACAGUUGUUACAAUGCUGUUGUGCAGUCAUAAAUCAGACAAUGAUUGUUUUUUUGAUGUUGUCUGAAUCAAUCAAUUCAGACAACAGUUAUUUCAUUGAUGUUGUCCAAGGUUGAUUAACACAAUAGUUGAGAAAAUAUGUUGUCUGAUUGUUUUUAAUCACACAAUAGUUAUUAUUUCUCUAUUGUGCAACUAUUAUUCAGACAAUGGUAGCACUUUGAUGUUGUCUGAGUAAUUUAGUUCAGACAAUAGUUUUUUUGUAUCUGUUGUGCGAUUGUUAUUCAGAUGAUGUUAAUAUUUGAUGUUGUUUGACUAUAUUGUCUGACAAUAGUUUUUGUUUUGUGUCUGUUGUGCGAUUAUUAUUCAUAUAAUGUUAGUAUUCAAUGUUGUCUGACUAUAUAUUCAGACAACAAUUUUUCUAUGUCUGUUGUGCAACUCUCCUUCCGACAAUAAUUGUGUGUGUUUCUGUUAUCUAAAUUUUUAAACGCGGUUGCCCUAAUUGAAUUCCCACAUUUUGGCUAAAUUCAAUUUUUCGACCCCCUCCAUUUCAAUAAAUAACACGAAGUCGUUUUAGCACUUGGCCAAAAUUCCCACACUUAUACUCGUCUCCACUCUCUCUAUCUCUCUCUCACACACACAUUAAGACCAGAAGGAUUUCUCAGACACCAAAUGCCAUCGGCGACGGAAGAACCCAACACGAUGACGUCCUCGACGAUGAUGAUCGACGAGAUUUAUGAGUUCUCAGCCCCGUGCUUCUUCGAUUUCAUCAAGGACGAGACUGACGACGACAAGAUCAAGGCCGAGCUUUGGUUCGAUUCCCUUCCCGUACGAUUCCCUAUCCCUCUUCUCUUUUCUUUAUUCUUCAGUUCGUCAAUUCCUUGUUACGCUUUUUCUCAAAUAUGUUUUUGUGUUGGAUUCCAUUUUCUUUCCAAAUUAGGGAUUUAGGUUUUCUUCUUUUUAAUUCGAUUACCUGAAUUGGAGUAAUUAGGUUUUAAUUUCCUUGUUAGGCGACGGACGCGACGGACGGGAAGAGGUAUUUUGGCCUUCGCCUUAUAUAUAAAGAUAUAGACAGUAGUCAUGGAUAGAUAGAUGAUAACACUCCACCUUAAUGAAUGAUGGUGAUUGAUUGAUAUAAAGUAUGCUCUUUUCUCCAUUGUUGUUUCAAAUGAAUCUCUCGUAUAGACUCUACUGAGGGAGAGAGGGAGGGAGAGGAAGAGGGAUUUGAUUGGCAUUCAUAAGCUGCUUGCUGAACCUCCCAAUCAUCUUGCAUACCCUUAAUCAAAACCUUCGAAUUGUCCACUUUAACCAUCGAUGGCCAAGAGAAGCGCCUCUCCUGAGUGGUUCCAUUGCAACCCAUUUACUGACAUUCAGGGGAUUCGACGUUUGAUAAAAUUCGAAGUAAUAUUUCGAGAAACAUCUUUGCAAGCAGUCUGCUGCUUCUAUGGCAGGAAUGACUUUAGGCUUUAGAUACAUUCAAAGGCUGGUGGACCAAUUCCCUCCUGUAAAAGCGUUUCAUUUUGUCCUUGACCACACUGAGGUCUUACUAUCUUGGCUAUCUGGGCUUCACUUCAGAAUGCAGUGGUAUUUCAUGACUUCAUGAUUGCUACUACUGGGAAGUACUGGCAGUGCUGCUCAAAACCAGCAUAUGUUGCAUAGAGCAUGAGGAGACCUAGCUACAACGGGAGGGUUCUAAAUAUACUAAUGCUACUAUUCUUAGAUGUUCAUUAUGUUUUUGGCCUUUAUGUUUAGGGGUAUAUAUAUAGGCAGGGUUAAUUAAUAUAUAUUAAUGUUGGGAUGAACAUACUAUUGAUGGAAUAAAAAAAAAUUUGGAAUCAA